rnacentral:lncRNA from 1 species
CGAGGACCUUUGCCUGGAGAUAGAAUUAGACCUAGAGCUUGCUGACAGGGGUCUCAAGUGUGGGGCAUGGACCAUUCACUGGGAUGGCAAGGGAACCCUGUCCCCGAGGACGGGACUGAAGCUGGGGUAAGGUGGUGCUUGGGGAGGUGGGUAGACCUUAGUGGUCUCCCACUUGGCCUUGACCGGCAUAGGGGCUCAGAGCUGGAAAAUGGUUUGGUCCCUGGCAAAGCUGGAGGAGGUAGACAGACAGAUGGAAAAAGAGCCGAGUGCCUCAAACUCCUUGUCUGGAGUCCUUUGGCCUUCCCCAUUGCUGGUGUACCAUCAGUCCGGCAGGGAAGAUGGUGGUGCUGGGAUCUUGGUAGCUCUGUGGGCUUGGGGUUUCUAUCAGUGCUUCCCAGUCUUCGGUGCCCCAGAGAAAACUUAGUCUUUUCUCAAAUGUUUAGCAAGACCCCCAGAUCAAAUUCUGGGUCACCCUGGGGUGGUUCAGGGAGAUUUUUCCAGAAUUCCCCAGACUCAUUAGCUGCCAGACAACAAGAGCCACUCCAUCCUUUCUCUGCUUCUGUAUAAUUAAUUUGGCCAAGCUGGGACA